GGAGGUUUAGCUCAGCUGGGAGAGCACCUGCCUUACAAGCAGGGGGUCAGCGGUUCGAACCCGUUAACCUCCA
rfam:Vagococcus lutrae LBD1 adhBo-supercont1.5, whole genome shotgun sequence.